UACGAAGGGGGCUAGCGUUGUUCGGAAUUACUGGGCGUAAAGCGCACGUAGGCGGGUCGUUAAGUCAGGGGUGAAAUCCCGGAGCUCAACUCCGGAACUGCCUUUGAUACUGGCGAUCUUGAGAUCGGAAGAGGUGAGUGGAAUUCCCAGUGUAGAGGUGAAAUUCGUAGAUAUUGGGAAGAACACCAGUGGCGAAGGCGGCCAACUGGACAGAUACUGACGCUGAGGCGCGAAAGCGUGGGGAGCAAACAGG
rnacentral:rRNA from 1 species